GCCGGUUUAGCUCAGCGGCAGAGCAACCGCCUUGUAAGCGGUAGGUCGUGGGUUCAAAUCCCACAACCGGCUCCA
rnacentral:tRNA from 1 species